GCCCCUGCCCCUGCCCCUGCCCCUGCACCAGCCCCUGCCCCAGUUGGACGUUAAACAGGACAGGAAAAUGGACAAAUUCAUACGCUUAUCAAGAGAACAUCCCUGCUCAUCCCUACUGUCUCUGAUCUGGUGGACUCACAAAACACAAAUGCUUAGUUUAUAAAGAUGUCAGAGUGUUGGAGUGUACCCUGGCUAUCCCUAAAUAAAGUAAACAAGAAAAUG